UNUGACUUGAGUGCAGAAGGGGAGAGUGGAAUUCCAUGUGUAGCGGUGAAAUGCGUAGAUAUAUGGAGGANCACCAGUGGCGAAAGCGGCUCUCUGGUCUGUCACUGACGCUGAGGCUCGAAAGCGUGGGUAGCGAACAGGAUUAGAUANCCUUGUAGUCCACGCCGUAAACGAUGUGUGCUAGGUGUUAGGCCCUUUCCGGGGCUUAGUGCCGGAGCUAACGCAAUAAGCACUCCGCCUGGGGAGUACGACCGCAAGGUUGAAACUCAAAGGAAUUGACGGGGGCCCGCACAAGCGGUGGAGCAUGUGGUUUAAUUCGAAGCAACGCGAAGAACCUUACCAGGUCUUGACAUCCCGAUGCUAUUCUUAGAGAUAGGAAGUUACUUCGGUACAUCGGAGACAGGUGGUGCAUGGUUGUCGUCAGCUCGUGUCGUGAGAUGUUGGGUUAAGUCCCGCAACGAGCGCAACCCUUAUUGUUAGUUGCCAUCAUUAAGUUGGGCACUCUAGCGAGACUGCCGGUAAUAAACCGGAGGAAGGUGGGGAUGACGUCAAAUCAUCAUGCCCCUUAUGACCUGGGCUACACACGUGCUACAAUGGUCGGUACAACGAGUUGCGAGCCGGUGACGGCAAGCUAAUCUCUGAAAGCCGAUCUCAGUUCGGAUUGGAGGCUGCAACUCGCCUCCAUGAAGUCGGAAUCGCUAGUAAUCGCGGAUCAGCACGCCGCGGUGAAUACGUUCCCGGGCCUUGUACACACCGCCCGUCACACCACGAGAGUUUGUAACACCCGAAGUCGGUGAGGUAACCUUUUAGGGGCCAGCCG
rnacentral:rRNA from 1 species